rnacentral:rRNA from 1 species
GGGAGUAUGGUCGCAAGGAUGAAUCUUAAUGAAAUUGACGGAAGGGCGGCACCAGGAGUGGAGCGUGCGGCUUAAUUUGAUUCAUUCACGGGGAAACUCACCAGGUCCUGACAUCGGAAGGAGUGACAGCUUGAUAGCUCUUUCUUGAUUCUAUGAGUGGUGGUGCAUGACCGUUGUUAGUUGGUGGAGUGAUUAGUCUGGUUAAUUCCGAUAACGACACGAGACCUUAACCUGCUAAAUAUACCACACGAGUAUGGUUAGAUGCUGGGUUUUUAGAGGGAGUAUUAGCGCUUAGAUAAUGGAAGUGUGAGGCACUAUCACGUCUGUGAUGUCCCUAGAUAUUUUGGGCCGCACGCGCGCUACACUGACGGAUCCACCGAGUAUUUUCUUUGUCUGGAAGGACUGGGUAUUCUUGUGAAACUUCGUCUGUGUCUGGGGAUAGAGCACAGCAAUUAUUGUUCUUUACACGAGGAAUUCCUAGUUAGCCUGAGUCAUCCGCUUGCCUUGAUUUCGUUCCUUCCCUUUGUUCCCCCCCCCCGUCGCUUCUUCCGAUUGAAUGGAUUAGUGAGCCUUUGGGAUUGGCAGCUUGGACCGUCCCCGGUCACAGGCCGCUGAAAAAUUAUGCAAACUUGGUCCUUUAGAGGAAGUAAAAGUUGUAACAAGGUAACCAAGGGCGAAUUCGCGG